CCUACGGGGGGCAGCAGUGGGGAAUAUUGGACAAUGGGCGAAAGCCUGAUCCAGCCAUGCCGCGUGUGUGAAGAAGGCCUUCGGGUUGUAAAGCACUUUCAGUGGGGAAGAAAGCCUUGGGGCUAAUACCCUCGAGGAAGGACAUCACCCACAGAAGAAGCACCGGCUAACUCCGUGCAGCAGCCGCGGUAAUACGGGGGUGCGAGCGUUAAUCGGAAUUACUGGGCGUAAAGCGCGCGUAGGCGGUCUGAUAAGCCGGUUGUGAAAGCCCCGGGCUCAACCUGGGAACGGCAUCCGGAACUGUCAGGCUAGAGUGCAGGAGAGGAAGGUAGAAUUCCCGGUGUAGCGGUGAAAGGCGUAGAGAUCGGGAGGAAUACCAGUGGCGAAGGCGGCCUUCUGGACUGACACUGACGCUGAGGUGCGAAAGCGUGGGUAGCAAACAGGAUUAGAUACCCCAGUAGUC
rnacentral:rRNA from 1 species